CUACUACCCACCGGCUACAUAGAAAAAACCUAAUAAUGGACUGUGUCUGUGUUUGUGACAAUGAAGUGGAAGGGAGCUUGUGGUAUUGCAAGGUAUGCAAACAGCAGAAACAUCAGUGUGUCCAAGCUGCAGGUCAUUUGACAGAACUUUGUCCAGUAUGCGACAAGGAGCUUCAGAAUGUGCGUUUGCAAGACAUUGUCAAAUGUGACAAACAAGUAUGUGUAAUACCUUAGCACAGAAGGCACCACCAGUUUGUCAACGAGCCAUUCAAGUACAUAUCAAACAACAGACAACUUUUAUGUAAUGCUGAACAAGUUUUGCGUC